UACGGAGGGUGCGAGCGUUGUCCGGAAUCACUGGGCGUAAAGGGCGCGUAGGUGGCCUGUGGAAGUCUGCGGUGAAAGCCCGGCGCUCAACGCCGGGUCGGCCGUGGAUACUCUCGGGCUCGAGCUUACUAGAGGCAGAUGGAAUUCCGGGUGUAGCGGUGGAAUGCGUAGAGAUCCGGAAGAACACCGGUGGCGAAGGCGACUUACUGGACUGUAACUGACGCUGAGGCAUGAAAGCGUGGGGAGCAAACAGG
rnacentral:rRNA from 1 species